GGCUUAGAGUUUGAUCAUGGCUCAGGAUGAACGCUGGCGGCGUGCCUAACACAUGCAAGUCGAGCGAAGCACUUUACUUUGAAUCUUCGGAUGAAGAGUUUUGUGACUGAGCGGCGGACGGGUGAGUAACGCGUGGGUAACCUGCCUCACACAGGGGGAUAACAGUUAGAAAUGACUGCCAAUACCGCAUAAGACCACAGCACCGCAUGGUGCAGGGGUAAAAACUCCGGUGGUGUGAGAUGGACCCGCGUCUGAUUAGGUAGUUGGUGAGGUAACGGCUCACCAAGCCGACGAUCAGUAGCCGACCUGAGAGGGUGACCGGCCACAUUGGGACUGAGACACGGCCCAAACUCCUACGGGAGGCAGCAGUGGGGAAUAUUGCACAAUGGGGGAAACCCUGAUGCAGCGACGCCGCGUGAGCGAAGAAGUAUUUCGGUAUGUAAAGCUCUAUCAGCAGGGAAGAAACUGACGGUACCUGACUAAGAAGCACCGGCUAAAUACGUGCCAGCAGCCGCGGUAAUACGUAUGGUGCAAGCGUUAUCCGGAUUUACUGGGUGUAAAGGGAGCGUAGACGGAUAGGCAAGUCUGGAGUGAAAGCCCGGGGCUCAACCCCGGGACUGCUUUGGAAACUGUUUAUCUAGAGUGCUGGAGAGGUAAGUG
rnacentral:rRNA from 1 species